rnacentral:rRNA from 1 species
AGAUGGCGACCGGCGCACGGGUGAGUAACACGUAUCCAACCUGCCGAUAACUCGGGGAUAGCCUUUCGAAAGAAAGAUUAAUACCCGAUGGUAUAAUCAGACCGCAUGGUCUUGUUAUUAAAGAAUUUCGGUUAUCGAUGGGGAUGCGUUCCAUUAGGCAGUUGGUGAGGUAACGGCUCACCAAACCUUCGAUGGAUAGGGGUUCUGAGAGGAAGGCCCCCACAUUGGAACUGAGACACGGUCCAA